CUUUUACCCGAACCGUUCGGAUGGUGAGUUUCUGAAUUUCGGGUUGCCGUGUCGCGACGCUUUGAAGUGUGGCCUACGCAUUGGGUCUGCUGCUGCUGCUGCUGCUUCGGAAGCAAUCUAGAGCUAGAGGUGUUUUCCCUUGAACACGUCUGCGGAUGCUGGUGCGUGAUGCUCUAGGUGAAGCGUCGUCGUCGUCCGUCUACUACUAAGAGGCAUCGCGUCGUGCUGUUGUCGAGAGCGUCGUUAUGGUCAACGGAAUAUGCUAGCAGUGAUGAAAAUUUAAUCAGAAGUGCUAUAAAUAUCGUGAAGAGCCGUGUGUCCGUGAUUUGUGUUGGCAAACAUACGACAGCACAUCGUAUCGUAGUUGUAAGAAGAAAGAGGCGCUCCUCUGCAAGAUCUUUCGCCUUUUGGUACGGGGUUUUUUUCUGGUGCUUUCUUCUCUUCUCGGAGUAUGGGGAAAGGAAGUGGUACUUUGCUACGCUCGCUCAAUGUUUAAAAGUAGUUUAUUUUUGCAGUACGUGUGUUUUGUUUUGAUGAUCCCGUAAAAAGGCGGAGCAAACGCAGUAAAAGUUCCUACGUGUAAAAAGCACCCCGUUUUAGUUUGUACUCGUAUUCAAACUCCCUUCAUCUGCAAUGGGAGAGAUUGUUUUUCAGUAAAAGCACAUAUCCGGUUAACGAGCAGUGAAGGCCACCCCGCCAUAAAAGUGUACCGCAGUGAUUUUUGCGGGUCUUAUGUCACGAAGCUACCUAUAGGUAUAUGUAUCGCCUGGCAGUCGACCGACACAAGCGCAACAUCCGAAGAGGAUCACACUACACUGACGCCACUAAGUCCCCUUCAAAUCGUGCGGGAAUGGAAAUUCGUCUUUGCUUUUUUGGCAACCGACAGCGACCACUGCUUUAGUAAGUGUGUGCCGGAAUACUGCAGAUGGGUUGUGGGUAGAAACCAUCCAAGUUUAGUGUAGUCGGCGGUUUCAACGGCAAACUAGCUGAGCAGCGAACGAGAAAACCGUCACUUGAACGAAAGUCACAGCUCCAAAAACUCUCCAUUUGUUCUCCAACUUCAACCGUCCAGGUUCAACCUGUCUAUCAAGUGUUAACCGUUUGGAACAAAUGCAUAUUCACUCACACAGAAGGAAAGAAAAUCAAACCGUCUAGACCGCCAUGGUGGUUUUCCUAACGCCAAUGGAGUAAAACGAAAAUCAAGUUCCUUCGCCAUAAAUAGAAGCAGAAAAAUUGUACCGAUACCGUGCUAGGAAUCUAAAUUAUGUUGGUAAGGUAGACAACCAUAGUCAAGUCAGUCGUCGUCGGUGGAAAAUAGAUAAGAAAAUUCAUUCAGCUGAUUGUUGUUGUGGGCGUACCGGGUUCGGGUCGUUCGUGUAAAUAGGCUCAAUUGCAUAGUUAGAUAGGUCCUGGUUUAACAAGUUUACCUGCCAAGAGAGCAAUCAAUUUCAACCCUAUAAGCUCUCCAUAUUAUGACCAUGGACUGAUCCCGCAGAGAAAGGAAAACAGUGCCCAGUGAUAUACUUAGUUUGUAUCAACAUAUGGAAUCGUUCGGAUAAAGCAUAGAAGGGGAAAAUAAUUUCCAUAGCUUUAACUAAGCCCCAGAAAAAGGGAAAAAUAACCACAACACUACACCCCCAAGUUCGGAGUUUGGGGCAAAGGGAUUUGGGUUCGCUGGAUAACAAAUCAACAAUUUAAGUCGCCUGUUGCUGAAAUACCCGGAGGAAAAACAACAACACCGAAAAUGAUCUACCGGUGCUGCUUGGUCGUACCCUUGUUGGGGCUGCUCGCUGGAU